rnacentral:rRNA from 1 species
AUUGAACGCUGGCGGCAGGCUUAACACAUGCAAGUCGAGCGGGGAAGGGUAGCUUGCUACCUGACCUAGCGGCGGACGGGUGAGUAAUGCUUAGGAAUCUGCCUAUUAGUGGGGGACAACAUUCCGAAAGGAAUGCUAAUACCGCAUACGCCCUACGGGGGAAAGCAGGGGAUCUUCGGACCUUGCGCUAAUAGAUGAGCCUAAGUCAGAUUAGCUAGUUGGUGGGGUAAAGGCCUACCAAGGCGACGAUCUGUAGCGGGUCUGAGAGGAUGAUCCGCCACACUGGGACUGCGACACGGCCCAGACUCCUACGGGAGGCAGCAGUGGGGAAUAUUGGACAAUGGGCGCAAGCCUGAUCCAGCCAUGCCGCGUGUGUGAAGAAGGCCUUUUGGUUGUAAAGCACUUUAAGCGAGGAGGAGGCUACUGAGAUUAAUACUCUUGGAUAGUGGACGUUACUCGCAGAAUAAGCACCGGCUAACUCGGUG